rnacentral:rRNA from 1 species
UACGAAGGGGGCUAGCGUUGCUCGGAUUGACUGGGCGUAAAGGGCGCGUAGGCGGUUCGUACAGUCAGACGUGAAAUUCCUGGGCUCAACCUGGGGGCUGCGUUUGAUACGUGCGGGCUUGAGAUUGGGAGAGGGAUGCGGAAUUCCAGGUGUAGCGGUGAAAUGCGUAGAUAUCUGGAGGAACACCGGUGGCGAAGGCGGCAUCCUGGACCAACACUGACGCUGAGGAGCGAAAGCCAGGGGAGCAAACGGG